rnacentral:rRNA from 1 species
GACGAACCGUGCGAACGUUAUUCGGAAUCACUGGGCGUAAAGGGCGCGUAGGCGGCCCUCCUUGUCGCGUGUGAAAGCCCCGGGCUCAACCUGGGGAUUGCGCGCGAAACGGGGGGGCUUGAGUUCGGGAGAGGAGCGUGGAAUUCCCAGUGUAGAGGUGAAAUUCGUAGAUAUUGGGAAGAACACCGAUGGCGAAGGCAGCCCCCUGGGCUAACACUGACGCUCAUGCACGAAAGCGUGGGGAGCAAACAGG